rnacentral:lncRNA from 1 species
CAGCACGACGGCGCCGAUAGUGAGCAGCGCCACGGCGUUCAGCGUCGCCGCGGUGAGCCGCUGCCGCACGAUGAGGCACGCGAAGAAGACGGUGAACGCGAGCUGCGUGGAGAUGAGGAUGGCGGAGGUGGACACCGGCAGGUAGGCGAGGCCGUAGGCGUAGACGAAGUCGUCGGCGCCGGUGAGGACGCCGAGCACCGCGCCCGCCAGCAGCACGCGCCGCGGCGUGAGGAACAGCGGCGCGCCGCGGUCGCGCGCGCGGCGGCUGUGGUAGGACGCCGACACGGGCACCAGCAGCAGCGGCCACCCGGCGGUCUCGAGCCACGCCGAGAGCCACUUCCUGUGGCCGCCCUUGCUGAAGUAGAGCCGGCUAAGGAUCGGCCCGCCCGUGGUGCCCACCACCAGCAUCCCGCAGUUGAGCGCCACGAGGAGCCAUCGCGCCGCCCUGCCGCGCCCCGGCGCCGCCGCCUGCUCGUGGACCACGUCCUUGGUCGCCUCCACGUCCAUGCCCACGCGUGCAGGGCUAGCCGCGCUACCUACGCCGUGCGCGUGUUGCGUGAGGAUCACAGCUCGAGGGCGCGCGGGACAGGCUUGCUGCCGUCUGCCUAGCUAGGACUCCAGCUUUGGAGGGUAGCACAACAGCAGAAGUGGGUAGCUUUGGAUACAACGACGGUGACGACGCUGGCUACGGAUAUAUACAGUCGAUCUACAUAUGGUGCGGGCGCGCGCGCACGUCGCUAUUGCGAUGGAUGGUGAUAAAAGGUUCGUUGUUUAGAGCAUGGUAAGCUAGUGAUGUACUCACUUCGUUUUAUUCGUUUUAUAUUAUAUAAGAUGCUCUAACUUUUUUCCAAAUGAAUUCUUGUAAGCUUGAUCGGAUUAUUAAAAUAUUCUUCAAUAUCUACACCACUAAAUUAGUUUUGUUAAAUAUAACAUUCAAAACAAAUUGCAUAUUAGACGAGAACAAAAACAAAGUCCAGACAUCUCUAACACACCCAGCUAGCCACGACAAAAACAACAGGGAACCCCACCCCUGAACACUUGGACAUGACCAUCAAAGUUAAACGAUUAAUGGCCGGAUUGAAAGCAAUAGAUGAUCUUUUAAACAAUGGCCAUCGUCGUUGUGUCACUGGUUGAGGCAAUAUCUACUCCAAUAAUUGAUUCCAUCGGAUCACAAUGGACGGGCACGCGCGGGUCCUUCUCAGGCUUGCAACACAGUAUUAGCUGAGGAACAUAAACGCAUGGCAUGACUAGAUUGUUUGUUUCACUUUGUCAAAAUUUGAUAUCUAAGCUGUGGUAUUUGCCAUGAUUUAUGUGGCUAAGAAAUCUUUGGCACAAGUUAAGCAAGUUUUGACUACUUGAUAUAUAUAUCGCCACGGGCACGUAGUAUAAUACUGGCACGAGCUUUAUGAUUUGCCUUAUCCCUUUCAAUUGUCAGUGUGUUUGGCAAUCGCUGUCAUGUUGAAUGAGGCAGCAUCAUCAAAGGCCAUUUCAGGAUUGAUCGAUGGGUAGCUACUCUGUUUUUUGUCAGAUAAUCUGGGGUUCGUAUUGUUGCCAUCAUAUCAUUGACCAUAUUACAGGCGCAUAUUCACCUCUGGCGUUGUCGAGCAUGAUCAAGGAGAGGUACAAUCCGUGCACUCUCCAGACAGUCCAAGCAUAUAAUUUUAUCGUGCUAGCACUAUCAACUUUGUUAAUCUUUAUUUCAUAGGUUGUGUUUAGAAGUUGAAAUUUAUUUUUAUUGGCAUGUCUAGACAUUUUAUUCGGGAGUCAUCUUAGCGUCAUGGCUACUUCCUCCAUCCAGAAAAGUGGACAUUCUACCGAUCCAUCUGUGUCCCAUAAGUAAUAAGGAAGGAGAGGAACGAAAGAAAGCAUACGCUUUCAGGAGACCAUAGUCAUCUAUACCUAUUUAAUUAUUUGAGCUAUGAGCUAGCGGUGGGGACAAGAGAAACAUUGUUAUUCCUACAUGACAAAUAGAUAAAUGCAAGAAUCUUAUAUUAAUUGGUUAGAAUCUAUAUGAAUUUUUAGCAAUAAAUCAACUGAGUUGUCAUUUUGGGGAGUUUCGGGUUUGUCGAUUGCUACCCUAUGUCUCCAUUAAAAUCCUAGGAGUAUUACGUGAAACAUGUGGUCACUAGCUUCUUGUAUUAAAAGAAGAGUCCACAUCAAUUAUAAUUUAUUAAUUACUAAGUUUGGUUUUUGAGUUAAAUUAAUAAAACAUAGUAAAAUUAAGAUUCGAGACGGGUACACUAUUUUCAAUUGCAUAAUUUAUUUAACACGGACUCUCAACACGAUCUACGUUCAUGAUAAUACGAUCCAUCAGAUUAACGAUCAUGCAUUAGUGAUCAACAUACAGAGGAGCUAUUAAGAAGUACUCCUUCCAUUUACAAAUAAUAAUAAUAUUUUUUUAAGUUAUUCAGAAAUGAUGAGCAUAUUUGGUAUUCCUUCCAUGUGACUUUUUGUUUUUUAAGUAUAAUUUUCACGAAUUUAAUAUUAAACACAUGUUGUUAAACUACACGAGUUUAUAUAAUUAAUGAUUAAAUUAGACAUGUUUAACUUAGUAAAAGAAUAAUUUAAAACUGACCUUUUUGAAGCUCAAUUUGUUAAGUUGGAUUAAAACAGAUCUUGUGGAGUUUCUAUAUAAGUUGCAUUAAGGUUUUGCAUUUACAAACGUCCUUGUUCUCAAUUUGUUGGAACUUGGAUCUAAGCAAGAGAUGCAGGAGUUAAUGAGUUACUCUCUCCAUUUUAUAUUAUAUAGAAAAAUAUAAUAAUACUUUUAACAAAACAAACAAAUCGUUAAAAUAUAUUAUCCAAUGUUUAAUUUAACGAAAAUAAUUUAAUGUCGAAGAUGUUGUUUUUUUUAAUAUCAAUCAAAUCUAAAGAAGUUUCACUAAUACUAAUAUGAAAGAGAGGGAGCAUUAUUAAUCACCUGGAAGUCCUUGUUGACGACCAUGCCGACGGUGCAGAACGCGGUGGCGAAGAAGCCCAUGACCAGCUGCAUCUCCAUCACCAGCGCGUACGUGACGGCGCGGCCGCGGGCCGCGACGUGCUUGUAGGCGAGCUCAACGAGCGGCAGGAUGAGCCCGUACAGCGCGGCGGCGCCGAUGAUAAGGAAGAAGCCCAUCCAGUACUUCCCAUUGGUCACCCCAGCGGGGCGGUCCUUGGACACGUGCAGGCCCAGCACGACGGCGCCGAUCGUGAGCAGCGCCACGGCGUUCAGCGUCGCCGCGGUGAGCCGCUGCCGCACGAUGAGGCACGCGAAGAAGACGGUGAACGCGAGGUGCGUGGAGGUGAGGAUGGCGGAUGUGGACACCGGCAGGUAGUCCAAGCCGUAGGCGUAUAUAAAGUCGUCGGCGCCGGUGAGGACGCCGAGCCCCACGCACGCCAGCAGCACGCGCCGCGGCGUGAGGAACAGCGGCGCGCCGCGGUCGCGCGCGCGGCGGCCGAGGUAGGACGCCGACACGGGCACCAGCAGCAGCGGCCACCCGGCGGUCUCGAGCCACGCCGAGAGCCACUGCCUGUGGCCGC